CAGUUGCUUAACAUCGCAUAUAAACCUGUGAUUACUUCCUUUAAAUGAAGGUGAUUUUCACAUAACAAGCUAAGCUGCCUCUCUGAGGCAAGGACACACUUCAGAGAACGAGGCAGAACCAAGCAUCGGGGGUCCAUGGGCACCGAAGUCAGACCCCCUCCCCUCUGACAUCAGGAGCCUUGUGGGCUGGACAGAGCAAAGUCAACAACAUGGCGGCGAUAACCACUUAACUGGGCUGACUCCUUUUCCAAGGCAGUGAGGAUGACAGGAAUAUUGAAGCUGAGCACCUGGGGGCCCAAUUAAUUAGCCAUCAAUCAACAGCACUGCCCCAGCAUUCCCUGGGUGACCAGCACAGUGCUGAAAACUAUGGCCGGAAGCAGAGAUCACCAGAGCCACAGCCCCUCUCCUCCGGGAUCUGCCAGUCCAAGACGACCACCGGGCAAACACAGACACACAAACAUCCCAAUUCACAAGCGACGCAGAUGGCGGAACCAUGAAAAUGUUUGGAGCGUAAACAAAACCCAAGACACAGAAGAAAAUUAGAAAAAUCUCUCUCUUUCUGGAAUACAUAUGCAUUUAUAUGUACGUAUACAUAUACCCACUAUACAUAUUCAUGUGAAUAAAUAUAUAUGUAACAGA